rnacentral:lncRNA from 1 species
GUCUGUGGGGUCGAGACUGCGCGGCCGUUGGGCGUGCAGCGGCGCCAGUCGGCGGACGAGGGGCCCCCGGGAGGGUCUCACAAUACAUUGUCUGCAGAUUGAGGAGCAAAGAGAGCCAGUCCGAGUUCCAAAACUGAAGAACUGGCCAGGUGCAGUGGCUCACGCCUAUAAUCCUAGCACUUUGGGAGGCCGAGGCAGGCGGAUCACGAGGUCAGGAGUUCGAGACCAGCCUGGCCAACAUGAUGAAACCUCGUCUCUACUACAAAUACAAAAAAAAUUAGCUGGGAGUGGUGGCGCGUGUCUGUAAUCCCAGCUACUAGGCAGGAGAAUUGCUUGAAUCCAGGAAGCGGAGGUUGCAGUGAGCGGAGAUUGCACCAUUGCACUCCAGCCUGGCAACAGAGCGAGACUCUGUCUAAAAAAAAAAAAAGAAAAAAGAAAGAAAGCUAAUGCAGUGCCCCUGAUGUUCACAGUUGCUGGACUGAGACAUGAGCCUCCAACUGUGUGGUUGGGCUCGGUAGCACAUCGUGGGACUUGGGUGUGCGCCCACAGAUGGUUUGGCCCUGCAGUGACCA